rnacentral:rRNA from 1 species
UUAUAUUCUGUAGCAAGGUUAACCGAAUAGGGGAGCCGAAGGGAAACCGAGUCUUAACUGGGCGUUAAGUUGCAGGGUAUAGACCCGAAACCCGGUGAUCUAGCCAUGGGCAGGUUGAAGGUUGGGUAACACUAACUGGAGGACCGAACCGACUAAUGUUGAAAAAUUAGCGGAUGACUUGUGGCUGGGGGUGAAAGGCCAAUCAAACCGGGAGAUAGCUGGUUCUCCCCGAAAGCU